UUCCUGGUGGCUCAGAUGGUAAAGCAUCUGCCUACAAUGUAGGAGACCCGGGUUCGAUCCCUGGGUUGGGAA
rnacentral:tRNA from 1 species